rnacentral:tRNA from 1 species
UAGAUUGAAGCCAGUUGAUUAGGGUAUUUAGCUGUUAACUAAAUUUUCGCGGGAUAGAGGCCCGCCUGUCUAG